AGAUGAUUCACCAAUGGAUAACUGCCAGCUGACAGAAGACCACAACAAUAGCUAUAAUUAGCUCUGACUGACAAGCAGGUUAGUGCUAUCCGGGAUCCUUGGGAGUUGGGAUGUCCUUACCCUUACCUUAACCCCCUACCCUUACCCUUAGCUUAAACCUAACCAUAACCAUUACCUAACCCUAACCCUUAGCUUAAACCUAACUAUAACCAUUACCUAACCCUAACCCUUACCUUAACCAUAACCAUUACCUAACCCUAACCCUUACCUUAACCAUUUUAAAUGUCAACUUCAAUGGGGUAGGGACCUCCCAAGGAUCCAAGAUAGCAAGAUGAGUCAUACUGUUCCUAAUCACAGACCUGAAGUCAUCAAUCAAGCAUUCCUUUGUAGCUUGACUCACAACUCACAUUUUUUGCUUAAGGGAGAAAAUUCUACCACAGAGAUGUAUUCCAGGGAUUUAAUUGGAGAGUGCUGUUCCACAAUGGAGCACAUCUGUGUUCUAGACAAUUGAAUAACUGUACAGUCUUCAUAAUUUACAUUAAAGUUGUGAAUACAGUGUACAUUGUAGCAGUUGUAGUUGUCAACUCUGAACUGCCUUAUACCAUUCUAAGGUAUUGAAUGACAGUACUGAGACAGAAAUAGACACUGCCUAAGGUAUCUAAUGACAGUACUGUAACAGAAAUAGACACUGCUGUGCUGUAUGUAAUGGAGCGUGACAUUUUCGUCCUCAAUUUGAUCUUUCAUUUUUUAAAUGCUGAUGCUGCUAUGGUAGGUUUUGUGUGAAAUUUAACUAUAUUUUGGAUAAUACUGGUUAUGCUGCACCUUUGAGAGUUGACCUGCACUUAAUUUUUGUUGUGAAAGGAUACACAAGCAUGAACACGUACUUCUUCAAAUGGCAUGGAUUUGCUGACAUUUGCUUUUUACUGUAACAGGAAAGGUUUUAUAGAAAUAGAAAGUGUUCUCUCUCAUUCAACGGUCUCUACAAAACCACACCCAUACAGUGCAUUCAGAAAGUAUUCACACCCCUUGACUUGACUUUUUCCACAUUUUGUUGUGUUAAAGCCUGAAUUUAAAAUGGAUAAAAUUCAGAUUUUUGUGUUACUGGCCUACACACAAUACCCCAUAAUGUCAAAGUGGAAUUAUGUUUUUAGAUAUGUUUACUCAUUAAUUUAAAUGAAAAAGUGAAAUGUCUCGAGUCAAUAAGUAUUCAAGCCCUUUGUUAUGGCAAGCCUAAACCAGUACAGGAGUAGAAAUGUGCUUAACAAGUCACAUAAUAAGUUGCAUGUACUCACUCUGUGUGCAAUAAGCAUUAUACAACGGGUUAAAACCGCAUUCCCACCUGUGUCUAUUCCACAUGUUACCACCAGUUAAAUCUAUGACGUUGAAAUGCUUAUUUACUCUGUUCCAUCUGACUGUGCAAUCCACUGUCUCAUCAGCUCAGCCAGGCAAUUUAUGUACUAGGUCUACAGUGUAAAAAGCAUCUAGACAUUAUUUCCCAUUUCUUUUCGACUAACAUUUGGUUUUCAACAGCAGAGAUUUUUAUUAACCUUGCUGUUUGUCUGUCCUACAAGGAAAAGAAAAUAAAGUUUACACUUAAAAAAAAAAAAUGAUUUCAUGAAAUGUUGCUUUUAGGAAAGGGGUGUGUCCAGUUGUGGAGCACAACUCAUGAGGCCACCUCCUGCACUGCUCAC
ensembl:lncRNA